CCCUUAGAUGUUCUGGACCACACGCGCGUUACACUGAUGAAGCCAGCGAGUAUAUCGCCUUCACCGGAAGGUGCGGGUAAUCUUGUGAAACUUCAUCGUGCUGGGGAUAGACCAUUGCAAUUAUUGGUCUUGAACGAGGAAUUCCUAGUAAGCAUGAGUCAUCAACUCGUGCUGAUUACGUCCCUGCCCUUUGUACACACCGCCCGUCGCUACUACCGAUUGAAUGGUUUAGUGAGAUCUCGGGAUUGGAGACGUUGCGCCGCAAGGCACAUCGUCCUCGAGAACUUGAUCAAACUUGAUCAUUUAGAGGAAGUAAAAGUCGUAACA
rnacentral:rRNA from 1 species